GGGGUUUGGGGGGAGCAGCAAAGUCCUUCUGGGGGGGUGGGGGUGGCCAGAGCCAGCAUUUCUCCCUCUCCCCAUAUCAGCAUGAGGACAUGGAAAGGGUCUGUGCCAGAGUUUUCUAGCUUUCCUUUGCCCUCCGCUUCUGCUUUUCCUUUUAUGCUGUGGGCCCUUUUCCUUUCCUUCUCUCCUUUUGAGACCCUCCACGCAAAUGCAGAGACGGGCCGUGAAGGGCACGCAUCCAUACGGAGGCCCUUCUGAGAGCCAGGGUAGAAAACGCUCUCGAUCCAUCAAUAAAACAUGAAAACCUCAGAGAAACUGAAGAGGGGCAACAGAAAGCUCGCUCUCACCCAUUUUUUAAGAAGCGGAAAAGGAAAAGAUACUGGGGGGCAAAGAGACAGAAGGAGGGGCUGCCCAAAGCAGGGCCUGGCCAGUAGAGCUCUUGGGCACAACUUUAGAGACCCUCAAGCGGUCCCAGGCGGCAUAUUCGGGACUAGCCGGCUUUGUCGGGGAACCCCUUUCCCUGCCAACCUCUUCGGAGGCAAAGCAAACCUGACAGCUUUAGGGCUACACAAGAUGCCUGGUCACGUCUGGGUUGCAGCGGAGCAACGGGCUGAGCCUCACCCAGAAAACUGGAACCGGGCAUCAUCCCUCCUCCCAAGUACCAUCAUCCCAAGUCCGUACCACCGACAGGAGACCACGAGGCCUCUGGCACAUUCUUCUGGGGAUGGGGGGCGGGCAAGACAAAGAAGAAGAGGAAAUCCGUUUUCGGCCUCAGAAACUCACGGACCGUUUUUAAAAAGCCAAAGCGGGACCGAGGCGCCCCUGCUCCGGACUCUCGCGGGCAAAAAGGCGGCCCUUUCGGGCAAGCACGCGUUUCCCAAGCCGGUCCGAGAAAGACCCCCGACGGAGACCCUCCGCCCUCUCGGGAUGUUCGAGCCCCAUCUGGGGGGGGUGGCGGGGGGGGCGGCCCGGCCCUUCUCCCAACCCUCCCCCCCCCGUUUAAAAUCAGAGGAGCAAAGCCGAAAGAUGCUCUCUCUCCCCCGGGUUCCACGCCGGCGUCACCCCGGCACGGGGGUCAGGGGAGCGGGCCGCGCUUAGGGCUGCCGGACUCCAGCCCGNNNNNNN
rnacentral:lncRNA from 1 species